rnacentral:rRNA from 1 species
GACGAACGCUGGCGGCGUGCCUAAUACAUGCAAGUAGAACGCACAGUUUAUACCGUAGCUUGCUACACCAUAGACUGUGAGUUGCGAACGGGUGAGUAACGCGUAGGUAACCUGCCUGGUAGCGGGGGAUAACUAUUGGAAACGAUAGCUAAUACCGCAUAAUAUUAAUUAUUGCAUGAUAAUUGAUUGAAAGGUGCAAUUGCACCACUACCAGAUGGACCUGCGUUGUAUUAGCUAGUAGGUGAGGUAACGGCUCACCUAGGCGACGAUACAUAGCCGACCUGAGAGGGUGAUCGGCCACACUGGGACUGAGACACGGCCCAGACUCCUACGGGAGGCAGCAGUAGGGAAUCUUCGGCAAUGGACGAAAGUCUGACCGAGCAACGCCGCGAGUGAAGAAGGUUUUCGGAUCGUAAAGCUCUGUUGUAAGAGAAGAACGGGUGUGAGAGUGGAAAGUUUCACACUGUGACG